CGCUCUACCGACGCCAACACGUCGUUUCCCACUUCCCUCACUGCACUUCCCGCCGUUUUCCGUCAGACCCUCCUUCUCAAACCCGUCGUUUCUCAAGCUCACCGACAUGAACGAGCAGUUGCCGGAGCCGACACCGGUCCUCCUCUCUCCCCGGUGACUCCCAAAACGCAGCGUAUUAUCAGAGGCGGCGGAUUUCGAGGAGAAUGAGUCGAAGAAGGAAGGUGACAAGCCGGGUGGCUCGAGAAACAAACCGCCACUACCAAAGAAAGCUUCAUAGACUCCAUCGCUAGAGGAGGAAGGAGAAUCGUGGGCAUGGAAAUGGAGUCCUUGCAUUUCGAUGAUGAACAACAAUGGAUAGAAAUUAGAUCCAUAUUGGGUUUGGUGGUUUUGGUCCGGCCGGUAUGCAACCCCAAGUGCCGAUCCGGUUAGGGCCCUGUAACCGAACCGAUCUUAUGUUCGGUUCACUUUGACCGACCGAUUUACCCUGUCUACUGUAGAGUGCACGCGCCAAUGCAGCGCGUGGAUCCUUUCGAGGAGAUGGUCGUUGGCCGCUUAUAAAUAUCGCAAAUCUCGCGCGCUCAGCUUCAUUUUCAUCGAUUUUGUUCUGACGAUCUCCAUCUCCAAUCUCGAGAUGCAGAAGUUAGGGUUUUUCCAUUGAUGAAGAGCUUCGAUCAGCUUUCGAUCGGUCCUUCUUCCUCGCGUCAGCCUCAAAGCUUGGACCUCCUCAGGAAGCUUUGUGAAACUGAAGAUUACUGCAGAUAAAAAAAAAAAACUGGUGAAGGAGCAGGUUUUCAUGAGAAGAGGUCCCGAACUGGCGAUAUUUGAGUUCAGGAUUGGUCUAGUUCUCUUCGACAAAGACUCUGUGAAAAAACAAAUAUUACCGAGACUCUACAUCACUUGCCCAUUGGCCAUUGCUAGGGAUAGAUGCAGAUACGAAUAGUCUGGGAGAUCCAAAGUGUGAGCACAUUAAGGUGAAGCAGAAGGCAAAAGGUUCAGCUCAAGGUCAAGGCUCAUUUUCGGUCCUCCGUUACUUGCUGACUCUUCCGGAUACAACUUGCGUACGCUUAUAUAAGCAUACGUACACACCUUGGCCUCUGUGCGUUUCUGCCGGUCGAAAGGUGGAGGUGUGCGGAGUUGGAG